GACGCGGAGGCGCUCGCGGAGGCGUUCUCGUGGUCGUCGAUCGCGAUGGGCAUCUGGUGCGCGCUCGGCAUCGCGCUCGCGUUGC
rnacentral:tRNA from 1 species